rnacentral:rRNA from 1 species
AGCUUGCUAGGAGGCGUCGAGCGGCGGACGGGUGAGUAACGCAUAGGAAUCUGCCCGGUAGUGGGGGAUAACCUGGGGAAACCCAGGCUAAUACCGCAUACGUCCUACGGGAGAAAGCAGGGGAUCUUCGGACCUUGCGCUAUCGGAUGAGCCUAUGUCGGAUUAGCUGGUUGGUGAGGUAAUGGCUCACCAAGGCGACGAUCCGUAGCUGGUCUGAGAGGAUGAUCAGCCACAUCGGGACUGAGACACGGCCCGAACUCCUACGGGAGGCAGCAGUGGGGAAUAUUGGACAAUGGGCGCAAGCCUGAUCCAGCCAUGCCGCGUGUGUGAAGAAGGCCNUCGGGUUGUAAAGCACUUUCAGUGGGGAAGAAAUCCUCGGGGCUAAUACCCUCGAGGGAGGACAUCACCCACAGAAGAAGCACCGGCUAACUCCGUGCCAGCAGCCGCGGUAAUACGGAGGGUGCGAGCGUUAAUCGGAAUUACUGGGCGUAAAGCGCGCGUAGGCGGCCUGAUAAGCCGGUUGUGAAAGCCCCGGGCUCAACCUGGGAACGGCAUCCGGAACUGUCAGGCUAGAGUGCAGGAGAGGAAGGUAGAAUUCCCGGUGUAGCGGUGAAAUGCGUAGAGAUCGGGAGGAAUACCAGUGGCGAAGGCGGCCUUCUGGACUGACACUGACGCUGAGGUGCGAAAGCGUGGGUAGCAAACAGGAUUAGAUACCCUGGUAGUCCACGCCGUAAACGAUGUCGACUAG